GACGUAGGGCGCGAGCGUUGUCCGGAUUUAUUGGGCGUAAAGAGCUCGUAGGCGGCUUGUCGCGUCGAAUGUGAAAUCCUGCGGCUCAACUGCAGGCUUGCAUUCGAUACGGGCAGGCUCGAGUUCGGUAGGGGAGACUGGAAUUCCUGGUGUAGCGGUGAAAUGCGCAGAUAUCAGGAGGAACACCGGUGGCGAAGGCGGGUCUCUGGGCCGAUACUGACGCUGAGGAGCGAAAAGCGUGGGGGAGCGAACAGG
rnacentral:rRNA from 1 species